GUCGCUCUCCGGGACCCAGGCUGGGAAGAGGAGGAUGGCAUCCACAUCUGCCAGGAGUGGGGACAAAAAGGACAUCAGGUCAUCUCAAGCUGCCGCCUCCUUAGGUGGAGGGCAGAAAUUAUCCUGCUCUGAAGAAUUCCUGACCCGAAUCAGCACAGAACUUACAGACGAAGCACUGUUUAUUGCUCGCUCCCGUUUGAGUCCUCUGCCCAAUAAGGAAAAGAACACAAAAGACCAAGGGACUCAGAUAUCUAGACAUGGUGAACGCUCUCCUUCUUCAUCUAGAGACCAGUCCCUGACUCACUCCCAACCAUAGCUGCUCUCCCCAGGAAUCUUCUGCCUCCUUGCCCAUCCUAGGCACAGUGCCCCUUAACUUCUAACUCAUUCAUUGUCACUACCCAGGAACCCCCUUGUCCCUACCUGCUCUAGCCACAACUCUUCUAAACAUGGGGAAAGUUGUUCCUUUAACUGGGGCCUCUAAUUCCAGUGUUCUUCACUAAGACCCGAGGCACUGACACCCGUUCCUGAUUCUCAGCCUAUUCUGUUGUCUUCUGUCAUCUCCAGCUCUGACAAAAAUCGAACCCGAACCAAGGCACACCUUCUGCCAUCUCCUCGUGAAAAGGGACCACUCCCCAACAGCCUGACAACUGGAGGAUGAGCUCGGCCCUCCCUAGUACUGCUCUCUCAGCUUCUUGCCUUCCCCCACUAUGUCCCUCAGUGAAAACCUCAAGGCCUCUCUUUUGCAACUGGCUAAGCCUCUCAUCUUGGGAGGAACUCCUGGUCAUAAGCAAUGCCACCUUUGAAACCAAGAAAAUCUUCUGGAACUGUCGCGGGGCCCUCCACCCUCCGUGGGCAAAUGCUACUGAGAAGAAAAGGUUUUAAUAAAGAACCAGGAUCCUCCCUUCCCCGAGAUGGUGGCAGUGUUCUGGAGGAGCUCCUGGCAGGGGAUGCCUUUCUUCUACAGGGAGACAGUGCAUGUCAGCAUUUCUCUAAAAUCCAGUUGUCAGACACCUGCUAGAGCCAAACCCACUGCCUGGUACCAUUUAACUAGCCCUUGCAUCCAGGAGGCCACUCUUGAUGGUCAGGAGAGCCUUUGCCUUGGGUUCUCAGGACCCUGGGCCUCUGCUUCUCCCUCUGAGCUUGUGGGGUCGCAUGGUUAAGAGAGCGUGUUGACCUGUUACCAGACAGAAGGUGAUGCAGGAAGCCCUGAGGGGUUUGUAUUUGCGGCCCUUGUGGCUCCUCGUUUGUUCCUCUGAGGAAGUCCAUUCACCUCUUUCAGCCUUACUUUCCUUAACUGAACACAGAGUAGCCGGGCAGUGGUGGCGCGCACACCCUUGAUCUCAGCACUAGGGAGGCAGAAGCAGGUAGAUCUCUGUGAGUUCAAGGUCAACUUGGUCUAUAGAAUGAGUUCUAGGACAGCUAGAGCUACACAGAGAAACCCUGUCUCAAAAAACCCAAACAAACAACCCCAAAACUGUAAGUAAUAAAUUAUCCCAGGUUCCCAAGUUCCUUACAAGGAUUAAAAAAACAACGGAAGGUGGGUUAUCCCUCUUAAUUCUGAAUAAUCUCAGCACUCAGUAGGCAGAGGCAGGAAGAUUGCUUCCAAUUCAUAGUAUCAAGCCAGUGUGGACUACACAGUGAUGUCCUGUCUCAAAAACAGAAGACAAAACAAAAACAGAAACAAAACAACUAGAAUCCUACCCACUCAACAGGCUCCUGCUGGAUCCCAGGAGGAUCUGGGGUUCAAGACCAACCUGGACACAUAAGGCCCCAUCUCAAAAACAAAAGUAUUCAAUACAAAAGCUGUC
rnacentral:lncRNA from 1 species